rfam:Picea glauca, whole genome shotgun sequence.
AUAUGUACAUGCCUACAACAUUAAUGCAUUGAAUCCCAUUAUAAAUUUGUAUUUAAGUGUGCUUGUGCUAGAGUAGCACUUGUAUGGGUGACCUCCCGAGAAGUCCUAGUGUUUUACAUGUC